CUGCAGUGUCGACCACUGGUUCCCAUGGACACCGUGCGAAAGCGAGGCGGCUGGUGUGUUUCCGCUUACCUCACACUGAGAAAGAAGAACGAAACCGGUUAGCUUUUUUUAGGACGAAGCGAAGGAAAGGACAAUACCAUACGAACUAAGCCAUUUCGCACUUAACUUUUAACAAUUGGAGAAUAGUCUGUCUAUUUUUGAAUUAUUUGAGUCCAUGUCCCGACAGUGAGAACGAAGAGGAGGGCUUGAAGGUAUUUAGGCUUUUCGUUGGUUGAACCUCAGCGGACUGUAGAGCUGGUAUCCAGGGGAAAGAUGAGCGAUGGAAUGGUAUUGUGUGAGACGAGAGCCCUGGCUUCCUCUCCAGUCCACAGGUUGGCUACGUCUGUACUCCUCUUCCUCUUCCUCGCCCUGCUCCCCCAAGGACACGCAUCAGGAUGUCCGCGGCCGGUGGCUGUGGAGCACGGGGAUCUGGUGAACCAGACUGAGGCUAACCGAGGCUCCUUCCUCCCUGGUACCCUGCUGUCCUAUAGCUGUGAGCCAGGCUACACCCCCGAUGGACCCACCACCAUCACCUGUACCACCGCUGGAACAUGGUCCCACCUGCCUCCACGCUGCAUAAGCACUAAUGUGUGUCCCCCCCGCCAGACCAGAGACGGAGGUGCAGGUGCCACCGUCCCCCUGCCCCCGCCUCUCCCAGAGGCCGUGAUGAGUGCUUCUGUGGGGGUCGCUCUGAAGGGGGACUACAAGUUCCUCACCUGUCAGAAUGGGGAGUGGGACGUACCCAUGCAGAUCACCUGCCGCCUCAGCCCAGAGAAGGAGCCGCGGUCUCCGUUGGCGAUGCCAGCGCUGUCCAUCGUAGCGUCCACAGCCUCCUCUGUGGCCCUCCUCCUGCUGUUGGUGGUGCUGUUUGUUCUGCUGCAGCCCAAACUCAAGUCCUUCCACCACAGCAGGCGUGAGCAGGGUGUCUCAGGCCAGCCAGCCUCUAUCGUGGUGGAAGGGGUCCAGGUGGCCCUCCCCUCCUAUGAGGAGGCCGUGUACGGCAGCAGCGGCGGCGCCUCUCUCCCCCCACCACCAGAGUCCCGGGUUCAGAUCGUCCUGUCUGAGGGCCCCCAGGGGGCCGAGGGCGGAGCAGAGGGACCGGGUCCCAGCAGUAGGUCCCAGUCCCACCAUCACAGAGACAGAGAUACAGAGCUGUGCCUCCCCUCCACCUCCUCCUCUUCCUCCUUCCCUUCAUCCUGCCGUCACGCAGAGACAGUACUAGUUCACCAGGCCCCCUCCGCCUCCUCUUCGUCGUCGUGGGUUACGGCACACGGAGGGGGUGCCCUUGCCAGGCGUAGAGACUCAGAGAGCAGUGACCAGCACAGCCUGCUUUCUGUCACCUCCGUAGACGACUUCUCUGAUGAUAUCCCCCUGUUAAAGGAAACCUGAAGCCCCUGCAGCAGCAUCACUCCGCCCCUACAGCUGAGCAGGAAACUGAGGCUCCUGCUGGGGCCUACUGGGGCUUUCUACCUGAACGAUACCACCCUACCUUAUGUCUCUGAACUACAGAAUUACCCCGCGCAGCAAAGACAGGAAUCAUGUCAAAGAAACUCAACCUCCCUCCUCCUCUACAUCUGCAACCUCGAGCAGAGUCCACUUCACCUCCAAUUAUUACCACCCAUGCACAGAACAUGUCCACCCCCAGUAUCCUCUCCCCAUGUCCUGGCUACCCCUUCUGCAAUGAUCUCUAAACUACUACCCGUGUGGAGAAAAGACAAGACGACCCUCUUUCUCUCUUACUGGGAACUGACAAGCCCUUAGUACCUCCUGGUCUCCUCAGUUUCAGAAUGGACCUCAACACAGACAGACAGGCAUCAAGUGGUUCCAGCUGAAUAUAGAUGUAUUCUGUAUGUAUCAGAGCUCCAAGUGUGCUACUGUGUAUGUGUCACUAUGUACACAGCAGAGCCAAUUCAAUAUACAGGGUUCUCCCCAAAGAAUGGAAGAGGGGCGCCGCACCACAAUUAUUUGCUCUAGAUUGCAGGAAAUGACCCUGCUGUACUCAGUAACACCACCUUGUUAAUAAAUUCUGGGUAGAACCCUGAUAUAGUUCUGGUACACAGAAUACACUUCCCUCUAUGCCUAGCUGCUUGACCCCAGUCAUCCACACUUCCCUCUAUGCCUAGCUGCUUGACCCCAGUCAUCCACACUUCCCUCUAUGCCUAGCUGCUUGACCCCAGUCAUCCACACUUCCCUCUAGGCCUAGCUGCUUGACCCCAGUCAUCCACACUUCCCUCUAGGCCUAGCUGCUUGACCCCAGUCAUCCACACUUCCCUCUAGGCCUAGCUGCUUGACCCCAGUCAUCCACACUUCCCUCUAGGCCUAGCUGCUUGACCCCAGUCAUCCACACUUCCCCUCUAGGCCUAGCUGCUUGACCCCAGUCAUCCACACUUCCCUCUAGGCCUAGCUGCUUGACCCCAGUCAUCCACACUUCCCUCUAGGCCUAGCUGCUUGACCCCAGUCAUCCACACUUCCCUCUAGGCCUAGCUGCUUGACCCCAGUCAUCCACACUUCCCUCUAGGCCUAGCUGCUUGACCCCAGUCAUCCACACUUCCCUUUAGGCCUAACUGCUUGACCCCAGUCAUCCACACUUCCGUCUCGCUCCUCUCUCUCUCUGUCUAGCUGCUUGAGCCCAAUCAUCCACACUUCCAAAUGCUUUAUCUCAAACCACAAGACUAGUAGCUAACAUAAUAAUGCUUUUAUCGCUGCUGCUGUUGCUGCUGCUGAUGAUGAUGAUGAUGAUGAUGAUGAUGAUGAUUACUCUGGAUACAAACUUGUGCAUCUCCCUACUCUAAUGGGGAUGAGGAGCCUCUCUCUUCAGUGAGGACUAUGUUGGUUCUGCACGUUCUCUCUAGUGAUGGAUCGAUGACGUCCUGCGGGGGCGCACGCGGUAGCCCUGUCUGUCCACUCUGUAUGAAGCUCCUCUUCCUUUCUCUGCUGCCACUCUCUGGCAUCUUCUUGGGUCAGUCAGCGCCACUUUCGUCUGAGGGGAGUAGGAGUGACGCCACCUGUAUGAAGACAAUGCACGUAGGAUGGAUGGAUGGAUAGAUGGAUGGAUGGAUGGACGGAGGGAGGGAGGGAGCACGUCACCAAGCACCUGCAGGGCUACAGACAGACAGUAUCACUCUAUCAUGUUAAAAUAAGAUGAAUGACACGCUUGCCUUUUCGUCACAACCGAUAUCUGUGUUGUGUUAGUCACAUCAACAGCCCAUCUGCUCCCCUGUUGAUGUGACUAACUGGUGGGUUUUGUUUUGGGAGGCAUCACUAUAUUUUUGCCACCUGGCUGUGGAACUGAACAACACACAGCUGUUUCAUGAAUGAAGAGGGCUGCACUAUAUUGUUAAAUUAACUAAGGCCUUGCUGUUUUUUUUACAUGAUGAAAACAUGUUUGUUUGGUGACUAGACAUUAGGUCACACAUCUCUUUUUCCAAUCUAUUUAUAUUGUGUGGCUGUAAGGUUGGGUUCACUAGAGGUGUUUGUCACUUGGUCCGGAUGCGCUUAAUGUCCGUAUGCAUGUGUGAGAGUGUGUUUGUGUGUGUCUAUCUUUGCCUCUGUACAUCAGUUAGGCGAGAGAGAGAAAGGACAUGCCCAUAGAAUGGGUACACCAGAAAUAUUACCCAGGAUUUCCUGCCCUUAGUAGAAAUGUCUUCACAUAGCUACCCCAGUUCAAAAUGGCUUCCCUCUUUUCCUGCUUUUUACAACGGUCAGAAGAACAAACAGUCAUUACUGUAAGAAUACAGUACAUCAUGUAUAUUUAAAUGUUCAAGGACUAAAAUGUCCUCCAUUUUCUGCAGAGUUGCUUCAGAAUAACCUUGUGGAUCUGCGACUGAAAAACCAUUGACACAACUGCAACUGGUUGCAGGAAACGACAGUUAUCUUUUGUUGUAAAUGUUAAGUUCAAAUUUAAGUGAGCCGUUUUAAUUGACCUUUGAUGAUAAAACCACUCGUAUACGUUGCUCAUUAGGUAGAGGAGACACGGUCUAAGUCUGGUCUGGCUUUUAGAAAACAUUGGUUUAUUUGUCGGUCUUUCCACCUGUCAUUGUCAUUGGCUUCAUAAACGCAAACAGAGAACGUUGCCUUAGACCUGGUACAUUUUAUUACUUUGAUUUUGUUUCUACUUGUAUCGUAAGUUUCCGUCUUUAUCUGCUACGAUAUCGAAGCGUCUUCGGUGUUUCCCAAUGGCCUUACUUUUGUAUUUUCUAGUCAUACAACUGUCUUGUGUAUUUUUCAAUGUGUUUUAUUUUUGUUUUUGGACUCGACUAAAGAAAGUCCAUCCUCUUCUCUCUGUACCCCCCCCCCCCCCCCCCAGGCUUCUUCAGCAACCGUGAUUUUCAAAAGCCUAAGCACAUGAAACAAAUCACUUUCUUUGUUUAAUGUUUAUCAGACAUUUUAAAUAUUGCGUGUUAAGGGACUAUUUUUUGGGCGUCCAGACCACCGUUGUACAGUGGUGUUUCCUCCAUCUCUUGAUUCUGCAUUUCAAUGCUUUCAUGUUUUCUUUUUUUCAUCUGUACAUUGCAGUGGGUUGUGAAGAUCGUAUUUUAAUAUUUGUAUAAAGUUUAAUUUAAUUCUACCUUGUGUGUGUGUGUGUGUGUGUGUGUGUGUGUGUAACUAUUUCUAAUUAAAGCUUUUUUUGAAAGUA